UACGGAGGGGCAAGCGUUGUUCGGAAUUACUGGGCGUAAAGGCGCGCAGCGGCUGCUCAAGUCAGGCGUGAAAGGCCUGGCUCAACCCGGAAUUGCGCUUGAGACUGGCUGGCUUGAGUGCGGGAGAGGAUGGUGGAAUUCCCAGUGUAGAGGUGAAAUUCGUAGAUAUUGGAAGAACACCGGUGGCGAAGGCGGCCAUCUGGACCGCAACUGACGCUGAGCGCGAAAGCGUGGUAGCAACGAGG
rnacentral:rRNA from 1 species